rnacentral:rRNA from 1 species
AGGAUGAACGCUGGCGGUCUGCUUAACACAUGCAAGUCGAACGGAGUACCUCGGUACUUAGUGGCGGACGGGUGAGUAACGCGUGAGAAUCUGCCCUUAGGUCGGGGACAACCAUUGGAAACGAUGGCUAAUACCGGAUAAGCCGAGAGGUAAAAGAUUAAUUGCCUAGGGAAGAGCUCGCGUCUGAUUAGCUAGUUGGUGAGGUAAAGGCUCACCAAGGCAUCGAUCAGUAGCUGGUCUGAGAGGAUGAUCAGCCACACUGGGACUGAGACACGGCCCAGACUCCUACGGGAGGCAGCAGUGGGGAAUUUUCCGCAAUGGGCGAAAGCCUGACGGAGCAAGACCGCGUGAGGGAGGAAGGCUCUUGGGUUGUAAACCUCUUUUCUGGGGAAGAACAAAUGACGGUACCCAAGGAAUCAGCAUCGGCUAACUCCGUGCCAGCAGCCGC